GACGAACGCUGGCGGCGUGCCUAAUACAUGCAAGUAGAACGCACAGUUUAUACCGUAGCUUGCUACACCAUAGACUGUGAGUUGCGAACGGGUGAGUAACGCGUAGGUAACCUGCCUGGUAGCGGGGGAUAACUAUUGGAAACGAUAGCUAAUACCGCAUAAUAUUAAUUAUUGCAUGAUAAUUAAUUGAAAGGUGCAAUUGCACCACUACCAGAUGGACCUGCGUUGUAUUAGCUAGUAGGUGAGGUAACGGCUCACCUAGGCGACGAUACAUAGCCGACCUGAGAGGGUGAUCGGCCACACUGGGACUGAGACACGGCCCAGACUCCUACGGGAGGCAGAAGUAGGGAAUCUUCGGCAAUGGACGAAAGUCUGACCGAGCAACGCCGCGUGAGUGAAGAAGGUUUUCGGAUCGUAAAGCUCUGUUGUAAGAGAAGAACGGGUGUGAGAGUGGAAAGUUCACACUGUGACGGUAUCUUACCAGAAAGAGACGGCUAACUACGUG
rnacentral:rRNA from 1 species